rnacentral:rRNA from 1 species
CAGUCGCCACGGUAACACGUAGGUGGCGAGCGUUGUCCGGAAUCAUUGGGCGUAAAGGGAGCGCAGGCGGGCAUGUAAGUCUUUCUUAAAAGUGCGGGGCUCAACCCCGUGAUGGGAAAGAAACUACAUGUCUUGAGUACAGGAGAGGAAAGCGGAAUUCCCAGUGUAGCGGUGAAAUGCGUAGAUAUUGGGAGGAACACCAGUGGCGAAGGCGGCUUUCUGGACUGCAACUGACGCUGAGGCUCGAAAGCCAGGGGAGCGAACGGGAUUAGAUACCCCCGUAGUCCCUGUCUCUUAUACA